GAAACUUUAUUAACACUAGAUAAAGAAAUCUAGUUACCGAAACACAAGACCUAUGAUAUGGAAGGAGCUUACAGAUAGUCAUUCAGCAUUUAAGGCAAUUCUCAGAAUUCAGAAGUGUGACUCUUCACUUUAGGGUUCCAAAACCUAUAUAAUUAAAUAAAAAGGGAUUUUCAGCCUUAACCUAUCAUAGCUUCAUAAUAAUCUCUUUAGAUACAAGUUUUCCUACUUCUACUUCUGUUUCUA
rnacentral:lncRNA from 1 species